AUUUAAGUGAUGUACAUUUUAGAGGCAUAACUCUGUCUUAACUCUUAAACGCCAUCAGCAAGCCUCCAGCCACCAUUUUUGUGCAUUCGGAUGAGCAAUCAGGAGCGCUCCAGAAAACUCUUAACGAGCAGGUUACAGCCGUCCUCGGUGGGGUCUGGGAAGCCGCCUGGAUUUAGGGCCGAUGGCGACUGCGUCAGUCGGGCUCCACCCAGGUGGAGACGCUCCGAGGCUGGCUUUCUUUUUUAAAGAGCAGACUAUAGAACUAGCUUUGCCCGGAAGAGUAACGUGCGCUGUCCCUUCGCGAAGCCACGCUCGUACAGGGGAGAGUCGGGGAGUAGGCGCCCAGCGGCGGGCCCCGCCCAGGACGCCGCCUUCCGGGCUACUCUCUGCGCACGCGCCUCCUGGAAGCGCCGGGCCGCGGGCGGGGCGCGGUGAUGACGUCACUGCGCGCGCCGCGUGCUGGGCCGGCGGGAUGGCGGCCGCCCGGGAGGCCCCGGUAGAGGAUCUGCUGCAGAACUUCGUGCGGGUGCUGGAGAAGCGAGAUGGCACGGAGUUGCGCCUCCAGCAGUACGGCUCCGGCGGCGUGGGCUGCGUGGUGUGGGACGCCGCCAUCGUCCUCUGUAAAUACCUGGAGACGCCCGGGUUCUCCGGCGAGGGCGCCCACGCGCUGAGCCGGCGGUCGGUGCUGGAGCUGGGCUCGGGCACGGGGGCCGUGGGGCUCAUGGCCGCCACACUCGGGGCGGACGUCGUAGUCACCGAUCUGGAGGAGUUGCAAGACUUGCUGAAGAGGAACAUUAACAUGAACAAGCAUCUCGUCACCGGUUCUGUUCAAGCCAAGGGGGGAAGAAACAGAAGACUUUCCUUCUCCUCCGGACUACAUACUGAUGGCCGACUGCAUAUACUACGAGGAGUCUUUGGAGCCAUUGUUGAAAACUCUAAAAGAUCUCAGUGGAUCUGAGACUUGUAUUAUAUGUUGUUAUGAACAAAGAACGAUGGGAAAAAAUCCGGAAAUCGAGAGAAAAUAUUUUGAGCUCCUUCAACUGGACUUUGACUUUGAAAAAAUUCCUUUGGAAAAACAUGAUGAGGAAUAUCGAAGCGAAGAUAUUCAUAUUUUAUACAUCAGAAAGAAAAAAUCGAAAUUUCCAUCGUGAAAACUUUAAUCAUCUCACCCAAGCCUCUAACAACCUGGGUAAGCUAAAGAUGUGAAUGGAGCAUGUGAAAACAGCAUGGGAAGAUUGCGUUCACAGAUUUUUUCCAGCAUGUCCUUCAAGACCCGCUAUAUAGACGACGACCACCACGGGCUGGCUGUGAUAGGAAGAUGCCUGCGGGCCUGAAAUCCGGCUUCAUUUACUUUUAGCUCGGCAUCAAGUUCUGUCUGAAAGCAGCACUGUAUGUCAGUCCCUCCUCAAAUAAAAUCGGUGUUGAGGUGAGCCUGAAGUCUGCCAGAGGCCAGCGGAGAAGCGGGGUUGACCUGCCGCUUCCUCAGCAAACUAGAGAUAAAUUGAUCGAUCUCUAAAGGGUUGUCUAUUACUGCGUAACAAUGUUUAAACUCAAACCAGUACAUUUUAGUUUGUCUUCAAGAUAGAUACAUUUAAAAGGGGGUUUUCAUUGUAACGUAAUUAUGCGGUGGUUUUGUCAUAUGUAUCUUCCACUUCAUUGCUUUUAAGAUAGCUUUAAUAUUUAAGGGUUCUUUUACUUAAGAAAUACUGAAAAUAUUGUUUUGUGUACUUACGUUGGCCACAGUUUUCUUUUCCUCCACCAUGCAUGUCUCUGUGAGUUAGAGAGUCAUUGAUACUGGGUGCGUUGGGAAGACUGAAAGUGAAAUCAGGAGAUCGGGAGGGGGCCGAGGUAGGUUUACAAGAUUUUUAUUUGAGAAAGGAGUGAGAACAAAAGCCCCGUUUCAGGCUCGUGCACUUGUGUGGCUCAUGCACUUUCCCUCGUGUAUAUCUUCCAGGAAAGUGGGGCUGAAAUCUCUGGUGUUAACUGGUUUACGUGAAACAGAGAAAGGUUUUUAAAUAACUGAAAUGUGGUUCUGUACACAUUCACCAAAUGAUUUGGAUUCUGUGUAGUCUGUUUUAGGUGUGAUAAUCUGCGCACAGGCUGGUCUGUCAGGGACUUGAGUCUCGCUGGUUCUGAAGAGGAGUGGAACCUGGCCGGAAUUCUUGUGCUCACAGGCGCGGGUGCAUGGUGGUGGCACGUUUUAUGUGUUAAAAUAAACAUCGUUUUUGAGAUCCUG